rnacentral:snoRNA from 1 species
CUGGAGAUGAUUAAAGCAUAAAAACCACCUGAGUGUCUGUGAAGGUUUUUGUAUUCAUACUGUCUGAUCCAG